rnacentral:lncRNA from 10 species
UAGAAGGAGGCAGAUCAUCUCAAGCGGCCCCAGUGGGAAUUAAGUCAAGUUCAGAACCUUCUUCCUUCUGAAAUGGCCUCCAGGAAGCCAGCCAGGUGCCAGGAAGCCUCCAUACCUUACUGUGAAGGGCCUCACAAAACCACCUUGCAGUGAAGGCAUUGCUACACUCACUUUGCAGAUAUGGAAACUGAGGCUCAGAAAGAAGUAACUUGGCUCGUCACAUGAUCUGCCUCUUUAAUCAAUGGAGGAAAACGCAUGGGUUUUGAGCCUCAGAUUUGCAACCCAGCUCUGGAAAUCACUUCUUGGAGCAGCAGUACCUCCAUCAGUUAUGCCAAGAUAAUAACCUCUAGCUCCUAGGGUUUUGGAGUGGGGAGGUUAGAGAUGAUCCUGGUGAAGGCUUGAGAAACCAUAACACUUCAGUAAAUAGUAAUUUCAG